AUUGAACGCUGGCGGCAGGCUUAACACAUGCAAGUCGAGCGAGCGGCGGACGGGUGAGUAAUGUCUGGGAAACUGCCCGAUGGAGGGGGAUAACUACUGGAAACGGUAGCUAAUACCGCAUACCAUCAGAUGUACCCAGACGGGAUUAGCUAGUAGGUGGGGUAAUGUCUCACCUAGGCGACGAUCCCUAGCGGGUCUGAGAGGAUGAUUAGCAACACUGGAACUGAUACACUGUCCAGACUCAUACGUGAGGCAGCAAUGAGGAAUAUUGCACAAUGGGCGCAAGCCUGAUGCAGCCAUGCCGCGUGUAUGAAGAAGGCCUUCGGGUUGUAAAGCACUUUCAGCGAGGAGGCGUUACCCGCAGAAGAAGCACCAGCAAACGCCGUGCCAGCAGCCGCGGUAAUUC
rnacentral:rRNA from 1 species